rnacentral:rRNA from 1 species
GCGCAGCAGUCGAGAAUUUUUCUCAAUGGGCGAAAGCCUGAAGGAGCGACGCCGCGUGGAGGAUGAAGGCUUUCGGGUUGUAAACUCCUGUCAUUUGAGAACAAGUGUAGCCAAAUAACUACUGGCUACUUGAUAGUAUCAGAAGAGGAAGAGACGGCUAACUCUGUGCCAGCAGCCGCGGUAAUACAGAGGUCUCAAGCGUUGUUCGGAUUCAUUGGGCGUAAAGGGUGCGUAGGUGGCGCGCUAAGUCAGGUGUGAAAUCUCGGGGCUUAACUCCGAAACUGCAUUUGAUACUGGCGUGCUUGAGGACUGGAGAGGAGACUGGAAUUCAUGGUGUAGCAGUGAAAUGCGUAGAGAUCAUGAGGAAGACCGGUGGCGAAGGCGGGUCUCUGGACAGUUCCUGACACUGAGGCACGAAGGCCAGGGGAGCAAAACGGGAUUAGAUACCCCUGUAGU